CUAGCAAAUUAAUUGACUAAGGGGGAGGUCAUGGGAACUUCCAAUCUGUAGCUGGUAGGUCAGAAGCACAGGUAACUAACUGCCUGAGACUUGCAACCAGCAGCUGGAGUUGGGGGUGGAGCGCAGUUUUAGCGGAGCCCCUAACCUGGGGAAUCCGGUGCUGUCUCCAAACAGAUGGCGUCAGAAUAGAGCUGCGUUCUCCAACACCCUGCUGGUGUUCGAGAAUUGCGUGGUGUUAUGUCUGGGAAGACCCCCUCCCACAUAUUUACGCACAUUAAAAUCGGGUCUGGGAACCCGAAUGGAGUUAUACUACUAUUACUGCUAUGUAUAAUAUUGUUACUGUUAUGCAUAUAUUUAGGGAAGAAAUACGCCACUGCAUUUGGUGUCAGAUGAGUGGGAAUAAAUUACAGCCAUCCACUGAUACUUCUGUCAAAUGACUGAGUAGGAAUUGGCUCUCACAGUUACGGAGACGGAGAAGUCCAGGACCUGUAAUGGGGAAGCUGGAGACGAGAGGGAGGCCAGAAGGAAUAAGAAGAUAAGGUUUGUGUGCUAAUAUUUGUGUCCUCUCCAAAAUGGCAUUUAUAUGGCAAAGCCAAAAGCAAAGGUUACCAACCACCAGGAGCCAAGAGAGGAAGGACAUACCUGACUAGGGAGUUUGGGAGAAAGAACCAGGCCUGCUGCUCAGCUCCUGCUCAUGUCAUGACAUGAAUGCAAGAUGCAUGCAUCCUGGCUGCUCUCAGCAGCCUGAGGAAGGUCUGCAGUUGCCCCGCUGUGCAGUGUCUGAGGGUAGUUGAAGGCAAAAGAAGUUACCAAAAGCCAGGAAGAAUUAGGAAGCAAGCUACAUUCAUCUUUACUCACACGUCAGUAGCAUGGUGCUAUUACAUGAAUUGUGGGUGCCCUUUUUUCCAGUUUUGGGAAAAACAGCUUUAAGAGAGCAUCUCUGAAGGAAUGACCUGCAGCAAGUUUUCCAGCCCAGUACUGCCCUAGCCCACACUUGGGACAGGGCAUGUGUCCCCCUCCACACUGCCACCCAGCAGCCCCGCGGGAAACAGAACAAAAUGAAACGAUGCCAGAGGAAGACGUGAGAGUGUGGAACAUUUUACAGGACAAAUGAUCUCCUUUCUUCAAUAAAUAAGAGG